GUCCCUGUAGCGCAAUGGAUAGCGCUUUGGACUUCUAAUCCAAAUGUCACGAGUUUGAAUCCCGCCUGGGAUG
rnacentral:tRNA from 1 species